AUACGGAGGAUCCGAGCGUUAUCCGGAUUUACUGGGCGUAAAGGGUGCGUAGGUGGUCUUUCAAGUCGGUGGUUAAAGGCUACGGCUCAACCGUAUUAAGCCGCCGAGACUGGAAGACUUGAGUGCAGGAGAGGAAAGUGGAAUUCUCAGUGUAGCGGUGAAAUGCGUAGAUAUUGAGAAGAACACCAGUAGCGAAGGCGGCUUUCUGGACUGUAACUGACACUGAGGCACGAAAGCGUGGGUAGCAAACAGGAUUAGAUACCCUGGUAGUCCACGCCGUAAACGAUGAGUAUUAGGUGUCGGGGGUUACCCCCCUCGGUGCCGCAGUUAACGCAUUAAAUACUCCGCCUGGGGAGUACGCACGCAAGUGUGAAACUUAAAGGAAUUGACGGGG
rnacentral:rRNA from 1 species